GACGAACGCUGGCGGCGUGCCUAAUACAUGCAAGUUGAGCGAUGAAGAUUGGUGCUUGCACCAAUUUGAAGAGCAGCGAACGGGUGAGUAACGCGUGGGGAAUCUGCCUUCGAGCGGGGGACAACAUUUGGAAACGAAUGCUAAUACCGCAUAACAACUUUAAACAUAAGUUUUAAGUUUGAAAGAUGCAAUUGCAUCACUCAAAGAUGAUCCCGCGUUGUAUUAGCUAGUUGGUGAGGUAAAGGCUCACCAAGGCGAUGAUACAUAGCCGACCUGAGAGGGUGAUCGGCCACAUUGGGACUGAGACACGGCCCAAACUCCUACGGGAGGCAGCAGUAGGGAAUCUUCGGCAAUGGACGAAAGUCUGACCGAGCAACGCCGCGUGAGUGAAGAAGGUUUUCGGAUCGUAAAACUCUGUUGGUAGAGAAGAACGUUGGCGAGAGUGGAAAGCUCAUCAAGUGACGGUAACUACCCAGAAAGGGACGGCUAACUACGUG
rnacentral:rRNA from 1 species